CCUACGGGGGGCUGCAGUGGGGAAUAUUGGACAAUGGAGGCAACUCUGAUCCAGCAACGCCGCGUGAAUGAAGAAGGCCUUAGGGUUGUAAAGUUCUUUUAUCUGUGAGCAAAGGAUGUGUGUUAAUAGCAUAUGUAUCUGAGAGUAGCAGAAGAAUAAGCACCGGCUAACUACGUGCCAGCAGCCGCGGUAAUACGUAGGGUGCGAGCGUUAAUCGGAAUUACUGGGCGUAAAGAGUGCGUAGGCGGAUGUAUAAGUUAGAUGUGAAAUACCCG
rnacentral:rRNA from 1 species